UGUGUCUGUGGCAUACCUUUUGGUCUAUUGAGCGGAUUGGAACUACAGCCUGUUUGCAUAUGCGUAAUAUCUGAUCAAAUCGAGGCGGUGUCGGGAGGAUCUCGCUAUUCAUAUGUUAAGAGAGAAGAUUACUAAAAGACGAUUGAAAAUCUUACGAAAUUGACCAGAGGAGAACAGAAAUAUUAUUUUAAAUACAUAUCAAUUAGAUUCUUGGAUAGUUUAUUCUAUACAUCAAACAAGUUGAAUAUUAUAUGGUAUUGUUCACGGCAGCACCUGUAACAGAGCCGCAGCGCUGUUAACACCCCAGAUUAACAGCCUGUUACCGCUGUCGGCUACAGUUCCCUGUAAGUGCUCUCUAACAGCGUGCUCGAGCCUGCUCUCACGAUCGACACGGCUCUAGAGCGGCCUGAGCUUAUAAGCUACAUCUUCAAUUCGCUUCUCCGCACUUGGUGUUUCAACUGCAUACAAGGAAAAAUUAAAUGAAAAACAGUACAAACAUAUGAGUCACAGCGACGACUUCAUCAACAACAAAUCGAAAACAAAUUGAGCUAGAUAUAAUGUUUCGAAGUUUCCCACACAAUUCAAUCAUCAAAAGCAAAUCAAUAAAAAAUUCCAGGGCACCCACCGAACACAAACAAUUAAGCACUAGAUUUUGUUUACAAGCCCAACAACCAGACCACCCCCGCGAUACAAGCCAGGCCCAAAGGCCUUUAAUGAGCCACAUUAUUUUGUCAUAAAGUUCAAGCGACCGCAAGAAACAAAGUGCACAAACAGGCAACACCAGAACAGACGCAGCACUUAGACAUGGCUACGAAAGCGAAAACCUAAUGAACAGACAUAGAUACAAUCGUACAUCCUUUAUUUGUCUCAAGCUGUCGCUGUCAUAAAAUCAGAACCAUGAAAAACGACAUUAUACAAGAGUGGGGAGCCAGAUAGAGAGAGAGAGAGCAACACCGAAAAACACUUAAAACAAGAACAAA